rnacentral:rRNA from 1 species
UACAGAGGGUGCAAGCGUUAAUCGGAUUUACUGGGCGUAAAGCGCGCGUAGGUGGCCAAUUAAGUCAGAUGUGAAAUCCCCGAGCUUAACUUGGGAAUUGCAUUCGAUACUGGUUGGCUAGAGUAUGGGAGAGGAUGGUAGAAUUCCAGGUGUAGCGGUGAAAUGCGUAGAGAUCUGGAGGAAUACCGAUGGCGAAGGCAGCCAUCUGGCCUAAUACUGACACUGAGGUGCGAAAGCAUGGGGAGCAAACAGG